rnacentral:rRNA from 1 species
GAUGAACGCUGGCGGCGUGCCUAAUACAUGCAAGUCGAGCGAACAGAUGAGGAGCUUGCUCCUCUGACGUUAGCGGCGGACGGGUGAGUAACACGUGGAUAACCUACCUAUAAGACUGGGAUAACUUCGGGAAACCGGAGCUAAUACCGGAUAAUAUAUUGAACCGCAUGGUUCAAUAGUGAAAGACGGUUUUGCUGUCACUUAUAGAUGGAUCCGCGCCGCAUUAGCUAGUUGGUAAGGUAACGGCUUACCAAGGCAACGAUGCGUAGCCGACCUGAGAGGGUGAUCGGCCGCACUGGGACUGAGACACGGUCCAGACUCCUACGGGAGGCAGCAGUAGGGAAUCUUCCGCAAUGGGCGAAAGCCUGACGGAGCAACGCCGCGUGAGUGAUGAAGGUCUUCGGAUCGUAAAACUCUGUUAUUAGGGAAGAACAAAUGUGUAAGUAACUAUGCACGUCUUGACGGUACCUAAUCAGAAAGCCACGGCUAACUACGUG